CAUGGAGGGUGAGAAUCCCGUUCAUGGUUAAUCUUAAGGAUGCUUUACGAUACGUUUUCCAAGAGUCGAGUUGUUUGGGAUUGCAGCUCAAAAUGGGAGGUAAAUUUCUCCUAAAGCUAAAUAUUGGCGAGAGACCGAUAGCAAACAAGUACCGUGAGGGAAAGAUGAAAAGAACUUUGAAAAGAGAGUUAAAUAGUACGUGAAAUUGUUGGAAAGGAAACGAUUAAAGUCAGUCAUACCAACGGGAAAUCAACCUUUUGAGUUUGGUCUUGUGGGUUUGAAGAGUUUCAAAGCCUUCCGAUUUGUGAGAUUGGGAUCUCUUGGUGCACUUUUUCGUACGGUUAGUCAACAUCGGUUUUAAUCAUUAUAAAAUGGUUGAAGGAAUGUAACUUUGAUUUCGAUCGAGGUAUUAUAGCCUUUGACAGAUGUAAUGAUCAAGACCGAGGAUUGCAACGGAUACCCUUCAGGGCUAUUCGUCUGAUCUUUGGUACUUGUCUUUAGUAUCGGAAGCUUGCUGACGAUAUUAGGGUUCACGGGUCAAAGGUUGGAACGGAUUAAAUUCGUUAAGGAUGUUGACGUAAUGG
rnacentral:rRNA from 1 species